ACCACAGAUCACUGCAAUGCCGGAUCCUUAACCCACUGAGUGAGGCCAGGGAUCGAACCUGCACCCUCAUGGAUACUAGUCGGGCUGGUUAACCACUGAGCCACAACAGGAACUCCCAUUCCAUAACUUGGGCUUUGUAGGGAGACUUCUUUAGAGACCGGAAGGAAAUUCAAGCAGCACAAGCAGUCCAGUGACCUUUCCUUGAGAGAAUCAGCCUCCACCCAAUCCCAGCGCCUCUGCCCCUGGAACAGAGAGACAAGCACCUCUCUGCUCCGGUGGUUCGUGACCUUCUCCAGAGGACGUGGGCCCUGGCGCUUCCUGUCCACUGGAAGAAGAGCUCAGCAUCUGCUGAGUCCAAAAUCAUGGCCUUUCAAAGACACUCCCUGAAACAGCAGUUGAACAAGAAAAGGACUCGCACAGCCACCAUCUGUCUGUUGACCUGAGGGUAGGUUUUAGCUGGUGAUACAAGUGAUGUUUGGGUACUAGUUGCUGUUCUAAGUACUUCAAGCUCUCACCAAAAAAACCUAUGAGGUGGGUCUAUUAUUAUCCCCAUUUUACAGAUGGAGAAACUGAGGCACGAGUGAGGUCAAGCCACUUAUCAGAGACAACACUCUCUCAUUCAUUCCUGUGAGCAUCUGGCAGGCUGUGACAGUUGUAAUCCCAACCAGAUGUCCCACAGGAACUUUCCAGGUGUUCCUUUGUUACAAGGAAUAACUCGCCUUCUCAACUCCAUGGCGUGACAAAGGAUGCAAUCUGCAGCCUCCUUCAAGCCUGCACCUCCAAGGUGUCCUUGUCCUUCUUAUGCACAGCCUUAGGGGAGGAGCCCGGGGGUUCACACCUUGGCCAGUGAGGACCCUGGGAAUUCAGAAACACAGCUCAGCGCUCAGUAGCCCCCACAGGACCAAGUUGGCCCCGUUUCUCCUUGAUGCUGGGGGAGCAGGAGGGGGUGUGCGGGGUGAUGGAAGGACCAUCCAUUGAGUAGAGUAGUUUCUCAAACCUACCACGUGUGCCUUGGUCUCUGCAGCAGGGGAUUCAAGUCAGGGCAGCCUUGCGUGGGGACUUGAGGAGGCGCACACGCCAUUGCACAUGUAGGGGCAUGACAUGGCCUGCUUUAUGCCACCCUGGGAGGCCUCUAGUGUUGUUCCUGGGGCCACCUGACCUGCACUCAAGUGCUCUAGCGCUGAGCUGUAUCCCCAGGCCUGGCAACAACCUUUAAACAACACCUUUCAUCUGUGUGGCGACACUCAACUCUGCGCAAUUAAGUUACACUGUCUCCACCAGGCCCUUCUCUUUGGAAGCUAUCAGACUUGGCUCCUCCUAAGGCAUUUUCCCUCAGGCCUGCAGCUUCCAGGCCUCAGUCCCUGCGCGAGGUCAUCCACAAGGAGAAAAGGACAGAAGCUGCCUGAUGAACCCCCAGCCCAUUUCCCCGUCCAUUGGUUUAGCCCAAGAGCUGGCCAAAGGUCUCCAAAACUACCCACAUUCCCCUACCUGGGCUCCCAGCCCUUUGUGUCUAUAGGUCUGACCCCCCCAUCCCCACUCCCACGCCUCACCCCCCACUCCACUGAGCCUGUUUUGGACGGAAGGUGGGGUGAGGGUGACAGUUAGGGUUACCAUCUAUUGUCUGCUCCCGGGAAGUCAGUUGCAUCCACAGCUCUCUGGUCUGCCCUGAAAAAGCCCGGCAGUCUGUCUCAGUCUUGCCUUCUCUUUGGGGAUCCAACAGAGUUGGAGAAACGAGAAACAGAAGGAAAAGAUCCAGAUGCCAGUAAGAGGAAGGCUACCCAGAGUGUUGACACAGGAAGAGGCCCUGCACCUGGACUGCUGCUGUUCGAGGGCUGACCUGUAGCUCCCAGUAGUCUCAGGGAGGUUCCUGAUAACUGGAGGAUAGAGGAAGGUAAAAAGGAGCAAGAGCUUCUGUGAAUGGAAGACCCAAGAGAGCAGGGGGCACCCGGGUUUGAACCAGGGACCUCUUGAUCUGCAGUCAAGUGCUCUACCCCUGAGCUAUACCCCCACCUCCCUGGUGCAGGUGCCUAAUAACGACCUUUCACCUUUGUAGUCACACCCAAGUCCUACAGAUGGAAGGUUUCUAUUUAUGUCCAGAGAGCUGGAAAGACCAGCUCUUUAUUCCUUUGAAAAUUCAGCCCAGAGAGGUCUUCCCCCAGGUCCCAGAGUCCCACAUUCCUACCCUUCACCUGUCCUCAGUCUGUGGUGACAGCAGCAUCCUGGAGGAGCACUGACAUUUACCACUGGAAGGGACUUAGAGUUUGUUUUUCUCUUGUUCUUCAUUACGAAACAGCACCUUGAAGAGAUCCUGCCCAAGCUCUUUGGAGACAUGUGCAGGACCUACACCUGAAGUGUCUAGCCCAACCCUAAGCAUGAAAGUUGGUUUGCAAUAACUAUUUGUUGGAUGGAAGGAAAGAGAGAAAAACUAGCAAAGACAUUUUUGUCUGGGGUAAAUGCAAAUUACCUCAGGUACCACCAGCCACGUGAACACUGCUGCUGUUUAUCCAAACUUGUGCGAGUACGUUCUCCCGCGUUUGGGUUGGAGCCCUUCCUCCCGGAGGUGAGCCAGUUCACAGCUCAAGACGCUCUCUCACGGUCAUUCUCCCUCACGGGUCUUCUGGCUCCUUCGAAAUGUUCCCUCUCUUGCUGAAAAGUAAAAAAAGCCAGGAAGGAAUCGGAGAAAUGCUCGAUUAAAGUUUCUCUUGUUUGGAGUUCCCGUCGUGGCUCAGCGGUCACGAACCCGACUAGCAUCCACGAGGACAUGGUUCUGAGCCCUAGCCCUGCUCAGCCGGUGAAGUACCCGUGAGCUGCGGUGUAGGUCGCAGAGGCGGUUCUGAUUCCCUGCGGCUAUGGCUGUGGUGGAGGCCGGCAGCUGCAGCUCCGAUUUGACCCCUAGCCUGGGAAUCUCCACGGGUGCGCCCUAAAAAAAGACAAAAAUAAUAAUAAUAAAACAUUUUAAAGCUUCCCUGAAAGACGUUGCAGGGGACCUAAGCAAAGGGCACGCUUUUAGGUGGUCCCCCAAACUAACAACUUCACAGCAAUGUCGAUGCUCCUGGAUUGGCCUAGAGAUUUAACGCAAUUCCAGUCAAAAUCCCAGUUAGGAUUUUUAUCGUCUUUGACAUGCUAACGCAAAAAGUUAUGUGGGAGGAGUCCCCUGGUGGCUUAGUGGUUGAGGACCCAGUGUUGUCACUGCUGGGGCACAGGUUCAAUCCCUGACACAGGAAAUUCCGCAUGCUGCAAGUACCGGCCAAAAAGAAAAGUUAUGUAGGAAAAGGAAGAGCUGGGAAUAGCUAGUGUUUUCCUGAAGAACAAGAGCUGGGCAAAGAAACUAGUGCUAUCAGAUGUGAAGACAUAAAAUCGGUAAGAUGGUGUUGUAUUGGCACGAGGAUAGACACACAAGACCGAUAGAGCAGAAUCGGACCAGAAAUGGACCUCUCCAUAGAGAGAAACUGAUAAACGAGAGAGCUGGCAUUGUAGCACAAUGGAGAAAGAGCAGGUUUUUUGAUAAAUGGUGCUAAGACAAUUGGAUGGCCAUACACAAAGUAAAUUCUGGAAGGAUUUAAGACUUAAGUAUAAGAGACCAAUCUGCAAACUUUUAAAAGAAAAAGUAACAGAAAACCCUUAUGACCUUGGAAUAAGAGAAGGAUUGAUUAAUUAAGACGUACGUAAAUACGAUGAAGAAAAGGAUUGGUCGAUUCUAGUUUGUUGACAGUAGGAAUUUCUGUGUACUGAGAGUCUCCAGAAAGAAAGCGAAAGGGAGAGUCAUAGAUCAGAAGACGCAUGUCAAUCGUUAUGUCAGCCCAGGAAUAGUCGGAAAACAGAAAGCACUCUAGGCUGUUCAGCAGAGAGAAUGUGAUACAGGCGAUUGGUUAACUAGGUUUAGGAGAAGUAACACAGCAGAAAGAGAGCCUCGAGACAGUGCAGAGAUAAUAACCAGGAAGCAGCUGCCCUAGUGCUAAGAGAAUAACUGAAGAGGUUGCAGGAGGCUUGGAGGGGGGCCCUCUAACGUGUUGGGACUCCAGCUUGUGGGGCAAGAGCACCGCCCAGCUGGUGCUGGUACCCUGGGAACACAGAAGGCUGGUCUCCCAGAGAAGUACUGAAAAUAAGGCUGGUUCUAGGCCUGCCAAACAAAAGUGUGGGCAUUUAAACCAGUGCCAUCCAGGUGGAGGAUCAUGGCUGGGGUCCCCUGACAAGAGCGGGCAGAACAAAGCACGUUCUGGUCUGCUUUUGUCAUCAUAGACCACUUCGCAUUUUCUUGUUGGUUAUAAAAAUGGAAUGAGACAUCACGCACUCUUUUUCUCUGCCUCCUUUCACUCAGCCUGUUUUCAGAUUUGUCCAUAUUGCUGCAUAUGUAUCAUUUCUUUUUAUUGCUCGGUAGUGCUCUCUCUGUUCAGUUUUGUGUACCCACCCGCUAUUCACCUGUUUAUGGUCAUUUAUUUGAUUUCCAGUGUUUGGCUAUUGCUAAUAAAGCUGCUAUGACACUCACA